rnacentral:rRNA from 1 species
ACGUCAAAUCAUCAUGCCCCUUAUGACCUGGGCUACACACGUGCUACAAUGGGCGGUGCAAAGGGUCGCGAACCCGCGAGGGGGAGCCAAUCCCAAAAAGCCGCUCUCAGUUCGGAUUGCAGGCUGCAACUCGCCUGCAUGAAGCCGGAAUCGCUAGUAAUCGCGGAUCAGCAUGCCGCGGUGAAUACGUUCCCGGGCCUU